UUUAAUGUGUACUGCAUGUUUGCAGAACUGUGAAAUGACUGCCUAGAGAGAUAGCUAGUCUUGUGUCAGGAGACCAGGAAACUGCUAUAGUACUGUACACUGUAAUGAAAUUUGACCAAAUUUAUGCUGGCUUGUCUUAAAGUCUUGUUUAAGAAACAAAUUGUUUGGUCAGUUAGAUGUUCUAGAUGUUUGCUAAAGUGUUGCUAGUUGGUUGCUAGGCUUUUGCUAUGCAGUUGCUGGGGUGUUGCUAGACUAUUGAUAGUGUUCUGGGUGAUUACAGACAUUCCCACCUCUGGUAAUAAUAUAAUGUCUUCAUUAAUGAUACAAGCUCAGAAACAUUUAUAACCUCUUGAAAUUUUUUAUAUUGUGUAUUGAGUUGGUGCCAUGAUGGAUAUUGAAAUGUUCCCAGUCGGCACAUGACCGACCUUCAACGUUGAAAUAUGGUUGAAAUAAUGACAGUUGUUAUUUCAACAUUGAAAAAAUUUUUAAUGCUAAAUGGUUGAAAAAGGUUACCAAAAACACUUCCCAGAUAGCAAGCACACUCGGGCCGAUUCUGGCUGAAAUGCGGCACUGUCGGUUCAGUCACGACGUCGGUGAGAAGCCAGAGCCGCGCCGACUCUACAAAACACUUCUGGCUGACAGACGGCUUUUUCUCUCUGGGCCGAUCUCGGCUGAAAGCUGUUGUACGUGCGGCAGGUCCGCACUCGGUGUAGUUGUGUGUCUCUACCUUCGGCCCGAGUUGGUUUUGUCUCCGGCGGCCGCUGCUAGAAUGAAGAUCAGCCGCUGAGAGAGAGAUUUGGCGCUUAAUCCUGAGGAGAUUUCGGCGGGCACAGUUCUCAAGAGGAAUACUUCAGCUGCAAAAAGGUAAGUUAAGUUAUUUAAUGAUCAAUCUAGUGUUGUUUGAUGUUUAAAUGCCACGAAGAGUAUAGUUUUUAGAUGGUUUCUGUUAGGUUUGCGAUGAUAACAGCGUUAAAAACCGUUCGGUCCUGGAUAUAUUGAGUGUUGAUGAGUAACGUUAGGCCUAACUGUCAGGCGCGGUCUCUUUAGGAAAACAAUAUGUCAUUUUUUUAAUAUGAAAAACCGAUGAGCUGUAUCCAGUGCACGGUAAUGUUAGGUAAUUAAAUUUUAAUGAGUUAAAUUCUAUUUCGUUUGCUAGAAUUCAUUCGAUUCGUCUUUUUCAACGAGUGACUACUAUUGAAUCAAAGGAGUCGGACUGCGCUGGUGGCGCCAUAAACAUCGAUACGAGUGCUGAUUUGAUUCACUUAACCAUUCAAAUGAGUCAUUUGUUUGUGAAUCAAACUGAGCACGCUGUUGUAGCAUUACACCUGCUAAGACAAUUCAAUAUGUGCAAUCUGAAUUUAAUAAUAAUAUUUAUUUUGUGGUAACACUGCCGUGUGGGAAGCUCUGACAGAUAAAAACACUAUAGAUACGUAAGAGGGAGCCGUAAAAUGUAAGUGCAUCAUCUUUUGUUCUUGAAUGGAGGCCUAAUCUGUCUGCUGCACUUGAGCAGGUUCAGUUUUUAGAGUGAAUGAAAACUUUUGAAGCAUAUAUGCCGUAUGAUGUGAUUUAAAAUCAUACUUAUUUUACUGUGGUGGGGAUUAUUAUGAGCAAACAAACUUAAAAGUUUAAUCUGAACACUAUAUAUAUGUAAUCUGACAUUUAUUAUUAUUUUUUUUUUACAGAAAUUCUGAGCUGCUGCAUGAACAUUCAUCAAACAUAUAAGGCUGCAAUUUGGAAAAAACUUUCAAUGCUGCUGCAAUGGAGUUCAAGGGGACUGAAGAGGUGGCUCCAGCUGAUCAAAAGGGUGGACUUCAGGAGGCAGACACACUCUGUUACAGUAAUCAGCUGAUCCAGUCGGUAUCCAGACCAGACGGUGGGCCUGCACCCAGGAGUGACCACAACACAUCCCUGACUGUCAG